rnacentral:tRNA from 1 species
GGAGGGAUGUCCGAGCGGCUUAAGGAGCACGCCUGGAGAGCGUGUAGACGUGUAAUGCGUCUCGUGGGUUCAAAUCCCACUCCCUCCGCCA